GAUGAACGCUAGCGGCAGGCCUAACACAUGCAAGUCGAGGGAGAAGCCCUUUCGGGGGCAGAAACCGGCGCACGGGUGCGUAACGCGUAUGCAACCUACCUUUCACAGGGGGAUAGCCCGAAGAAAUUUGGAUUAAUACCCCAUAAUAUUAUUGGAUGGCAUCAUUUGAUAAUUAAAACUGCGGUGGUGAAAGAUGGGCAUGCGUCCUAUUAGCUAGGUGGAGUGGUAACGGCACCCCAAGGCUACGAUAGGUAGGGGUCCUGAGAGGGAGAUCCCCCAAACGGGUACUGAGACAGGGACCAGACGACUACGGGAGGCAGCCGUCAGGAAGAUUGGGCAAUGGUCGGAAGACUGAACCAGCCAUGCCGCGUGCAGGAAGAAUGCCUUAUGGGUUGUAAACUGCUUUUAUAUGGGAAUAAUAAGGUGUACGUGUACAUUGAUGACGGUACCAGAUGAAUAAGCAUCGGCUAACUCCGUG
rnacentral:rRNA from 1 species